rnacentral:rRNA from 1 species
GACGAACGCUGGCGGCGUGCCUAAUACAUGCAAGUAGAACGCACAGUUUAUACCGUAGCUUGCUACACCAUAGACUGUGAGUUGCGAACGGGUGAGUAACGCGUAGGUAACCUGCCUGGUAGCGGGGGAUAACUAUUGGAAACGAUAGCUAAUACCGCAUAAUAUUGAUUAUUGCAUGAUAAUUGAUUGAAAGAUGCUAUUGCAUCACUACCAGAUGGACCUGCGUUGUAUUAGCUAGUAGGUGAGGUAACGGCUCACCUAGGCGACGAUACAUAGCCGACCUGGGAGGGUGAUCGGCCAAACUGGGACUGAGACACGGCCCAGACUCCUACGGGAGGCAGCAGUAGGGAAUCUUCGGCAAUAGACGAAAGGCUGACCGAGCAACGCCGCGUGAGUGAAGAAGGUUUUCGGAUCGUAAAGCUCUGUUGUAAGAGAAGAACGGGUGUGAGAGUGGAAAGUUCACACUGUGACGGUAUCUUACCAGAAAGGGACGGCUAACUACGUG